rnacentral:misc_RNA from 1 species
GAUGAAGAACGCAGCGAAAUGCGAUAAGUAGUGUGAAUUGCAGAAUUCAGUGAAUCAUCGAAUCUUUGAACGCACAUUGCGCCCUUUGGUAUUCCUUAGGGCAUGCCUGUUCGAGCGUCAUUUGAACCCUCAAGCUCAGCUUGGUGUUGGGUGUCUGUCCCCGCCUCCGCGGGGACUCGCCUCAAAAUCAUUGGCGGCCGGUACGUUGGCUUCGAGCGCAGCAGAAACGCGAACUCGAGGCCCGGCGGAUCGGCGACCAGAAGUCUCUUCUUCACAGUUUGACCUCGGAUCAGGUAGGGAUACCCGCUGAACUUAAGGAUAUCAAUAAGCGGAGGA